AUGUUGGAUGCCCCGGUAUAAACGGAUGCCUCAAAAUGUUUGAUGCCCCGAUAUAAACGGAUGCCUCAAAAUGUUGGAUGUCCCGGUAUAUAUAUGGAUGCCUCAAAUUGUUGGUCUGAUAUAAACGGUUACCUCGGAAUCCUGGUUGCAGCUUAGAAGGAAGUUGCCUCAACGAAGGUGAAACUUUUGGCUCAAAAUUUGGUCAGCAAUAAGGUUAAACUUUCUGUAGAAUGCUUGUCCCAUGACUUUCUGCAACCGUCUGACAAUUAGAUUGUGGGAAAAAAAGUUACAUGAUGAUAUUUUAUAACAGUGGGAAAAAAUGGUAAGAAAACUCCUAAAAAAAAUAUCACUUUCUUCAAAUGGGAAAAAAAAUUUCUUACCUCUUUGAAGUAGUGGAUGUUCUGUUACUGACCAUCAUUAUUGCUUUGGGAUGUAUUUUUUCUUAAAUUCUUGAAACUGCGCUUCUACGGACACGUAUGCUAUAAAUGUGGAGAUAUAGCUUGUUGGAUUAUGCUAUGACUCUCAUACCAUGUGUUUUUAAGAAUGACUCGGUUUACUUAUGUUUUGUAGACCAGUGUCUACUAAACGAAGCAUACAAAAUGAGUAAGAAUACAGGCUGCACCGAAAAUGUUUGUAGAACGAAUUGAAUGGGGAGUAGCUACAUUUUGUUUUUUCAAAUUUUAUGCUGUUAUGAAAUGAUGGACUGAAUGGAGAGGGUGAGCACUACAACGAGGGAAACGUCAAUUAAUGGUGCUAUGAAUGAUCCUUUUUUGUUUUCCCAAAAUUUGAAGGGGAUUGUCCCAAAACAAACUGGCCAUUGUUUGUUUUGUUACUCUAGGGACCAGCUCCGAGUAAAAACUAAAUUUGAUUUGAGAAGCGAUCUUGGUGUAGUAAAAGGAAUUAUAGCAGGCUCUUGCUUGAGAUGGUGACUUCCUGAUGGGAUAGUAUGUUUCUUUGUCAGUUAACAUAUAUGGAUGGGAUUAUAAACAGUUGGAAUUAAACUGGCAUAUUAAAGGUGACAAUACUCAUAUUUGGCUUGGUUACAGUUGAAUACGUCUCCUCAGGAAAGAAUGCAGCAUAAACUUGUGUUUAUUGAGACCCAAGAUGUGGUGGAGACUAUUCUGGCUCUCGACAAAUUACCGCAAGGCUUGCGAUUGUGGGAAAGGACAAAUAUCACUGUGCUUCGAGUGUAUUUACAGCAACCAUAAAAAAAAAACAUUGCAAAUGGGAAAGAUGAUGCAACUAAUGAGAAUAAGAGGCUGCCUUUCGACUUUGGACUAGCAAAUGCUGCUAAAUAUUACCACAAACUGCCAUGGUUCUACCAUAUCAUUUAUUCUCUCUUUAUGUAUCUUAUACCUCACUUAUGAAUCUGAAUUGUCAUUCGUUUUUUAGAUUUGAUUUUACCACCUCUGAUAUAGGAUUAUCAUAUGUGAUAACCACAAGUUUCACCAUUUUAUAGGUGGAAUUUGUUCCAAGGGUGAUUUUUGGUAAUUAGUACUAUUUGACAUUAUUUUAUAUCAGUCUGAUGCUCAUGCUAUAAUAACAAAAGAUAUGAUAUUUGUUAUUCGUUGAACUUUUAUAGUAACAAUUUUGUGUUUAACAAAAGAAAUUGGCAGGGAAAAUUUGAUUGGUAUUUUAUUCUUAAUCCUAAGCUGUUUCUGCUAGCUCAAUGUGAUUGAAUAGUAUAGUACAGACAUAAAUAUGUGAAUUUUAUUUCAUGUACAUUGAACUUUGCUUUAAGUGCAUUUACAGCCACCAUAAAAGAAAACAUUGCAGAUUGGAAAGAUGAUGCAACUAAUGAGGAUGUUAAGGGGCUGCCUAUGGACAAUUACAUACAAACUGUCUCAGGUUCUACCAUAUCAUUUAUUCUCUUUAUGUUUCUUGUGCAAAUCUGCCUUGUUCGAUAACAAUUUUGUUUUUAAUUUUCGGCUUUUAAAAGUUAUGCUUAUACCCUCACAAAUUUGUUAUGUUUUUCCUACGUAGCAAUUGAAGUCCUUUUAUCUCGCCCUUCUUGCUUUCAGGCAUCAUACCUCAUCAAUUCCUCUCUCUUAAGUUUGAGAGGUCUAUUAUAUGACUUUUUUUGGUUGAAGUCCAUCCUUCUUCACCUUUUAGGGCCAAGGGGUGGGAUGACAGUAGAAUUAGUGAUUUUUUCUAGUGAUUUUGAAAAAAAAAAUUAAGUGAUACUUUAAGAAUUAAUUU